UAACGCAAAAGAACUCCAAAAAAAAAAAUAAGGUACAUAUCUUCCGAUUCCAGAUCAAGAUUGGUUAUCUGCGAGCAAUCGAAUAGCGGCGAUUAGUCCAGAAAAUUCUCGACGAUCGCCACUGGGUCACCGCUUAAUUUUCAGGCGCGGCAUUGUUAUAUCACGAGGAAAAUCGAGCCCCCGGCCUCGCGGCCCGGCAGAGCCCGAGGAAACCCUCGUAACCAAGCAGGAAAUUAAACGGUGCACCGUCGGUCGGGCACGCACAUGCUCUCGGCCGGAAGCGAACCAAUCACGACCCCGCGUGAAUUUAUUCAUUUAUUCCGAAGACGUGCGUACACGCCCCACGCGGAAGGCGAACCCCGUGACGCAACAGUAAACACGCCAUGGAUCUACGAAGGUGAGAGGGAUGCAUCAUAAGGAAAAAAUUCAAGAUAAGAGGGGCCGAAGCUCGAGACGUGAAGAGGGAGACUCACGGCGGCCAUCUUGGGUUGCUGCACGUACAAUACAUAUUCAAGAACGAUCAAAAUAUGCGCACAGCGCCUUCCUUCGAAUUUCUACAUACGUCUUGAGCUUCACCCACGCACACCUACGUUCUAUCAUUAAUUUCUUCGCUAAAUCCACGGUAAACGGAAGAGAAACGGACUUCAAGGAGACGCCUUCGUCGAAGGCGACACCUUCCUCGGAUCUACCUCGGAAACCCGAUAGCGAGAUCACGGACUCGAGUAACGUCACUGUCCCCGAGGACGCCGAAGUCAAUAACCGUGGCGUUAAUAUACGUGUCACGAGCUGCCGGUUAUGACAUCCUUCUGCAAGGGUACCGGAUUAUGACUUAAUAAACAGCACUGGACGAUUUAAA